UGGGGAAUUUUGCGCAAUGGGCGAAAGCCUGACGCAGCAACGCCGCGUGCGGGAUGACGGCCUUCGGGUUGUAAACCGCUUUCAGCAGGGACGAAAAUGACGGUACCUGCAGAAGAAGCCCCGGCUAACUACGUGCCAGCAGCCGCGGUAAUACGUAGGGGGCAAGCGUUAUCCGGAUUCAUUGGGCGUAAAGAGCGCGUAGGCGGUUUGUUAAGCGAGAUGUGAAAACCGGGGGCUCAACCCGCGGCCUGCAUCUCGAACUGGCAGACUUGAGUCUGGUAGAGGAAAGUGGAAUUCCAAGUGUAGCGGUGAAAUGCGCAGAUAUUUGGAGGAACACCAGUGGCGAAGGCGGCUUUCUGGGCCACGACUGACGCUGAGGCGCGAAAGCUAGGGGAGCAAACA
rnacentral:rRNA from 1 species